rnacentral:rRNA from 1 species
AAAUAGAUCCUGAAACCGUAUGCUUACAAAAAGUAGGAGCCUCGUAAGGGGUGACUGCGUACCUUUUGUAUAAUGGGUCAGCGACUUACAUUCAGUGGCAAGGUUAACCGAAUAGGGAAGCCGUAGAGAAAUCGAGUCCGAAUAGGGCGAAUUAGUCGCUGGGUGUAGACCCGAAACCAAGUGAUCUAUCCAUGGGCAGGAUGAAGGUGCCGUAACAGGUACUGGAGGUCCGAACUGACUAAUGUUGCAAAAUUAGCGGAUGACCUGUGGAUAGGGGUGAAAGGCUAAACAAACUUGGAAAUAGCUGGUUCUCUCCGAAAACUAUUUAGGUAGUGCCUCAAGUAUUACCUGCGGGGGUAGAGCACUGUUUUGGCUAGGGGGUCAUGGCGACUUACCAAACCAAUGCAAACUCCGAAUACCGCAGAGUACAACUUGGGAGACAGAGCACCGGGUGCUAACGUCCGGACUCAAGAGGGAAACAACCCAGACCGCCAGCUAAGGUCCCUAAAAUUGGCUAAGUGGGAAACGAAGUGGGAAGGCUAAAACAGUCAGGAUGUUGGCUUAGAAGCAGCCAUCAUUUAAAGAAAGCGUAAUAGCUCACUGAUCGAGUCGUCCUGCGCGGAAGAUGUAACGGGGCUAAGCCAGUUACCGAAGCUGCGGAUUUGCAAUUUAUUGCAAGUGGUAGGAGAGCGUUCUGUAAGCCUGUGAAGGUGCGUUGUAAGGCGUGCUGGAGGUAUCAGAAGUGCGAAUGCUGACAUGAGUAGCGUUAAAGGGGGUGAAAAGCCCCCUCGCCGUAAGCGCAAGGUUUUCUACGCAACGUUCAUCGGCGUAGAGUGAGUCGGCCCCUAAGGCGAGGCAGAGAUGCGUAGUUGAUGGGAAACAGGUAAAUAUUCCUGUACCGAUGUGUAGUGCGAUGUGGGGACGGAGAAGGUUAGCUCAGCAGACUGUUGGAUAUGUCUGUUCAAGCCUGUAGUCGUGCCUGGUAGGUAAAUCCGCCGGGCUUAGAUGAGGGGUGAUAACGAGGAUGCUUGCAUCCGAAGUGAGUGAUACUCUGCUUCCAGGAAAAGCCACUAAGCUUCAGCUACACACGACCGUACCGCAAACCGACACUGGCGCGCGAGAUGAGUAUUCUAAGGCGCUUGAGAGAACUCAGGAGAAGGAACUCGGCAAAUUGACACCGUAACUUCGGAAGAAGGUGUGCCUUUAGUAUGUGAACCUGUACAAGGGGAGCAGAAUGAGGCCUCAGAGAAUCGGUGGCUGCGACUGUUUAAUAAAAACACAGCACUCUGCAAACACGAAAGUGGACGUAUAGGGUGUGACGCCUGCCCGGUGCUGGAAGAUUAAAUGAUGGGGUGCAAGCUCUUGAUUGAAGUCCCAGUAAACGGCGGCCGUAACUAUAACGGUCCUAAGGUAGCGAAAUUCCUUGUCGGGUAAGUUCCGACCUGCACGAAUGGCGUAACGAUGGCCACACUGUCUCCUCCUGAGACUCAGCGAAGUUGAAAUGUUUGUGAUGAUGCAAUCUCCCCGCGGAAAGACGGAAAGACCCCAUGAACCUUUACUGUAGCUUUGUAUUGGAUUUUGAACAGACCUGUGUAGGAUAGGUGGGAGGCUUUGAAGCCGGAACGCUAGCUUCGGUGGAGCCAACGCUGAAAUACCACCCUGGUGUGUUUGAGGUUCUAACCUAGGUCCAUUAUCUGGAUCGGGGACAGUGCAUGGUAGGCAGUUUGACUGGGGCGGUCUCCUCCCAAAGCGUAACGGAGGAGUUCGAAGGUACGCUAGUUACGGUCGGACAUCGUGAUGAUAGUGCAAUGGCAUAAGCGUGCUUAACUGCGAGACUGACAAGUCGAGCAGAUACGAAAGUAGGACAUAGUGAUCCGGUGGUUCUGUAUGGAAGGGCCAUCGCUCAACGGAUAAAAGGUACUCUGGGGAUAACAGGCUGAUACCGCCCAAGAGUUCAUAUCGACGGCGGUGUUUGGCACCUCGAUGUCGGUUCAUCUCAUCCUGGGGCUGUAGCCGGUCCCAAGGGUAUGGCUGUUCGCCAUUUAAAGAGGUACGUGAGCUGGGUUUAAAACGUCGUGAGACAGUUAGGUCCCUAUCUUCCGUGGGCGCUG